UUAAUUUUUAAGAGUUUGAUCCUGGCUCAGGAUGAACGCUGGCUGUGUGCCUAAUACAUGCAUGUCGAGCGAGGUUUUUUAAACCUAGCGGCGAAUGGGUGAGUAACACGUGCUUAAUCUACCCUUUAGAUUGGAAUACCCAAUGGAAACAUUGGCUAAUGCCGGAUACGCAUAAAAUCGCAUGAUUUUGUUGUGAAAGGAGCCUUUAAAGCUCCACUAGAGGAUGAGGGUGCGGAACAUUAGUUAGUUGGUAGGGUAAUGGCCUACCAAGACUAUGAUGUUUAGCCGGGUCGAGAGACUGAACGGCCACAUUGGGACUGAGAUACGGCC
rnacentral:rRNA from 2 species